rnacentral:rRNA from 1 species
UUUGGUGACGAUAGCGGAAGGGAACCACGCGUACCCAUCCCGAACACGGCCGUUAAGCCUUCCAGUGCCGAUGGUACUUGGACCGAAGGCGGUCCUGGGAGACUAGGACGUUGCCAAGC